rnacentral:rRNA from 1 species
CUGGCGGGUGCUAACACGAUGCAAGUCGAGCGCGAAUGGAGCAAUCCUAGUAGAGCGGCGCACGGGUGCGUACACGUGGGUAUCUGCCCUGAAGCCCGGGAUAACCUGCCGAAAGGCAAGCUAAUACCGGAUAAGCCUACGGCCCCUUCGGGGGCUGGAGGAAAAGGUGGCCUCUGCAUGCAAGCUAUCACUUCAGGAUGAGCCCGCGGCCCAUCAGCUCGUUGGCGGGGUAACGGCCACCAAGGCAACGACGGGUAGCUGGUCUGAGAGGACGAUCAGCCACACUGGAACUGAGAACACGGUCCAGACUCAUACGGGAGGCAGCAGUGGGGGAAUUUUGCGCAAUGGGCGAAAGCCUGACGCAGAAACGCCGCGUUGUGUGAUGAAGGUCUUCGGGAUUGUAAACCCGUUUCAGCAGGGACGAAAUUGACGGGUACCUUGGCAGGAAGAAGGCC